GAUGAACGCUGGCGGCGUGCUUAACACAUGCAAGUCGAACGAUGAAGCCCAGCUUGCUGGGUGGACUAGUGGCGAACGGGUGAGUAACACGCGAGUAACCUGCCCUUUACUCUGGGAUAAGCCUGGGAAACUGGGGCUAAUACUGGAUAUAAGUUCUCAUCGCAUGGGGGGGGGUGGAAAGAUUUACUGGUCUUGGAUGGACUCGCGGCCUAUCAGCUUGUUGGUGUGGUAUUGGCUCACCAAGGCGACGACGGGUAGCCGGCCUGAGAGGGUGACCGGCCACACUGGGACUGAGACACGGCCCAGACUCCUACGGGAGGCAGCAGUGGGGAAUAUUGCACAAUGGGCGGAAGCCUGAUGCAGCGACGCCGCGUGAGGGAUGACGGCCUUCGGGUUGUAAACCUCUUUCAGUAGGGAAGAAGCGAGAGUGACGGUACCUGCAGAAGAAGCGCCGGCUAACUACGUG
rnacentral:rRNA from 1 species